AUUGAACGCUGGCGGCAGGCCUAACACAUGCAAGUCGAGCGGAUGAAGGGAGCUUGCUCCUGGAUUCAGCGGCGGACGGGUGAGUAAUGCCUAGGAAUCUGCCUGGUAGUGGGGGAUAACGUCCGGAAACGGGCGCUAAUACCGCAUACGUCCUGAGGGAGAAAGUGGGGGAUCUUCGGACCUCACGCUAUCAGAUGAGCCUAGGUCGGAUUAGCUAGUUGGUGGGGUAAAGGCCUACCAAGGCGACGAUCCGUAACUGGUCUGAGAGGAUGAUCAGUCACACUGGAACUGAGACACGGUCCAGACUCCUACGGGAGGCAGCAGUGGGGAAUAUUGGACAAUGGGCGAAAGCCUGAUCCAGCCAUGCCGCGUGUGUGAAGAAGGUCUUCGGAUGUAAAGCACUUUAAGUUGGGAGGAAGGGCAGUAAGUUAAUACCUUGCUGUUUUGACGUUACCAACAGAAUAAGCACCGGCUAACUUCGUG
rnacentral:rRNA from 1 species